GAUGAACGCUGGCGGCGUGCCUAAUACAUGCAAGUCGAGCGAACAGACGAGGAGCUUGCUCCUCUGACGUUAGCGGCGGACGGGUGAGUAACACGUGGAUAACCUCCCUAUAAGACUGGGAUAACUUCGGGAAACCGGAGCUAAUACCGGAUAAUAUAUUGAACCGCAUGGUUCAAUAGUGAAAGACGGUUUUGCUGUCACUUAUAGAUGGAUCCGCGCCGCAUUAGCUAGUUGGUAAGGUAACGGCUUACCAAGGCUACGAUGCGUAGCCGACCUGAGAGGGUGAUCGGCCACACUGGAACUGAGACACGGUCCAGACGCCUACGGGAGGCAGCAGUAGGGAAUCUUCCGCAAUGGGCGAAAGCCUGACGGAGCAACGCCGCGUGAGUGAUGAAGGUCUUCGGAUCGUAAAACUCUGUUAUUAGGGAAGAACAAAUGUGUAAGUAACUAUGCACGUCUUGACGGUACCUAAUCAGAAAGCCACGGCUAACUACGUG
rnacentral:rRNA from 1 species